rnacentral:rRNA from 1 species
UACGUAGGGGGCUAGCGUUGUCCGGAAUCAUUGGGCGUAAAGCGCGUGUAGGCGGUUCGGUAAGUCCGCUGUGAAAGUCGGGGGCUCAACCCUCGGAUGCCGGUGGAUACUGUCGGACUAGAGUACGGAAGAGGCGAGUGGAAUUCCUGGUGUAGCGGUGAAAUGCGCAGAUAUCAGGAGGAACACCGAUUGCGAAGGCGGCCGACUGGACACAUAUUGACGCUGAGGCUCGAAAGCAUGGGGAGCAAACAGG